rnacentral:rRNA from 1 species
GAUGAACGCUGGCGGCGUGCCUAAUACAUGCAAGUCGAGCGAAUGGAUUAAGAGCUUGCUCUUAUGAAGUUAGCGGCGGACGGGUGAGUAACACGUGGGUAACCUGCCCAUAAGACUGGGAUAACUCCGGGAAACCGGGGCUAAUACCGGAUAACAUUUUGAACCGCAUGGUUCGAAAUUGAAAGGCGGCUUCGGCUGUCACUUAUGGAUGGACCCGCGUCGCAUAGCUAGUUGGUGAGGUAACGGCUCACCAAGGCAACGAUGCGUAGCCGACCGGGGAGGGGGAUCGGCCACACUGGGACUGAGACACGGCCCAGACUCCUACGGGAGGCAGCAGUAGGGAAUCUUCCGCAAUGGACGAAAGUCUGACGGAGCAACGCCGCGUGAGUGAUGAAGGCUUUCGGGUCGUAAAACUCUGUUGUUAGGGAAGAACAAGUGCUAGUUGAAUAAGCUGACACCUUGACGGUACCUAACCAGAAAGCCACGGCUAACUACGUGCCAGCAGCCGCCGUAA